CGACAUUUAUUCAUUCUUUUAGGAAUAUUGAAACAACAUUAUUAAUUGUGGUAAACCUUAUCUGGCAGUACUUAAGAGUGCAUCUUUGACUUUAUUACUCGAGUGAAUGCACCUUCAAACCGGUUUAACACCAACAUGUCACAGUAAUCAAUACCAUCUGUGUUAAGAUGUCGGGAAUGUGUUAGACGAAUGAUUUUGUUUUAUGGAGCUUUGAAGAGCGAUGAAUGGCACUAAAGUGGUGCCAAAUGGAUAUCUCAAACACCCAUUGUUGAUGUGUGAUGCUGAUAAUACAGAGACAGCUAGAGUGACAGAGUUUGAUGAAUAAACUUAAAUUAAAAAACAGAAAUAACCACCAUCUCUCUCAGAGGUCAUCUUUCUCAUUAUUGUGGGGAAACCUCAAAGGGCAUCAGGAAAACCUUCAUCAACCUCUUUGUGCCCAGUGGCUUGUGCAACAGUGUUUCAGAAAUUAUCAUUAAAAUGGGGAUAAUGGAUGACUGGCCACACAUAUGGGGCUAUGGACAAGCUUCAGAGCAGGCUGCCAGGUGGUGGUGUUAGUAGUUUAUACUCCGGGUCCCGGCGUGAGCACAUUGAAGGGUCCCAGAGUGACAGUUCAACCACCGCACACCUAUCCUGGGCAGAACCAGUACUAGGUGCCUUCACCUCUGCAAGGAACUGACAGCUUCUGUACAUGCCAGGUGCAGUGGUACAGUGCGAAUGGUCGUAGAAAGGAUUUCAUAACCAAUCACAACAGAGGUGACCUGGUCCGCCCGGGAAUCGAACCCGGGAUGUCCAAUUCAGAGUCCAACGCUCUACCGAUUGAGCUGACCGGGCGGACAUAUUAGCUACAUUAGAUGACAAGCCAUCUAUGCUGGACAUUCUUCACAAUAAAAUGUGAUGUCACAGGAGCUGUCUAUCUCAACAGCUCACACUGUCCGUAUUUGACUAAAGGAAUGAAUGAAGUCACUGCAGAAGUUAGAUUGAGGAAUGUCCAUGUCACUACCCAUCAUUUGGAAGGAGUUGGAUAAAAAAAGUGUGGCCUAUGUAUUGAAACAGGUCCGAUUUCCAGUUACGGACAGUCUUGAUUUGUCUGAUUACAUUUUUGACCAACAUGAUGGUCUAAAAGAACACUUACUGGUAACUGGUAAAAUCAUGGCCCAGUUGUUCCAAGAGGCAGGCGAGUGGGAAGUUACUAGACUCCAUUUCUUUAUGGGUUGAUCUGAGGUUCCAGUUCAGUUAAAGUACUGAUAGAACACCAAGUGUUUGCCAUAAUACAGCAACAUUUGAUUUGUAACUAUGUAUUUGUUUGAAUUGUUGAAACAGUACUGUUUACUAAAUAAUGUGUAUGUAUAUGAAGAAUAAUAUUAUAAAUAAUUUGUAAGAACCUGAUAUUAAGUAAAAUGUCGAUAAGUCUAAAUAUGUAUCUGCGAAUCAUUUUUGUAUAUCUGUAAAGAUUACAUUGCCUAUAUUCCUCAAUUUAUAUUUUUCUUUUAGCCAGUCAAUAACUUUUCUUAAGUUCUAUCUUCAAAAUUGUCGGGACAGGGAUUAUAGCCCUUAAUUAACCCAAAUAUGUAACAUUCAAUGCAAAAUUUCUAAUUGGCUGCAUUUAGGCAGUUCAGAUGCAGGAACAAACAUCACUUGGGUCCUUAAUAAUAGCUUUCCAUCUGACAUUGAAGAUCCAAUAAAAGGAAUUUGUCAUGUGACUGUUUAUUAACUCUCAAUUUAUUGAAAGUGAAAUUACUUACAUGAUUUGUAAGAACUAAAUUAUAAUGAUAUCAAAUGAUUGUUUAAAUUAAAUAAAAUAGAUGAUUACAUACAUGAACUAUUUUUAUUUCUUGUUUGUCAAUAUGAAGAGUAAUGCAAUGGCUUUUGAAUUUCAUAAAAAAGGAUGGAAAAAUGUAUGUU